UAAUUAAUGCAUAAAUUUAGAAUCUCAAUUAAAAGUUUCUUUAAAUAUUGUAUUAUUUAAUUACCAAACUAACCUUUAUUAAAAUAAUCCUUUUCCCUGCUAAAUAUUAAAGUUAUAUUUUUACACUCUAUUAAUCAACGGUUAAGAUCUCUUUUAUUUUUUUUAAAAAAAAGUACCGAAUCAUUUCUCUCUAUAUAUAUAUAUAAUAUAAAAUUUUAAAUUUUGAUAUCAAAAUUUAAAAUUUUGAUAUUUUCAAAUUUUAAAGUUUUAAAAUUUAUAUUUUAUAUUUUAUAUUUUAUAUUUUAAAUUCUAAAUUUUAAUUUUAACUUAUAACAUUUAUUUUCAAACUUUAAACUUCAAAUUUUAAAAUUUUUAAUCUCUAAACUCUACAAAAUUAUUUAAUUAAUUUUAUUAAUAAUUAAUUAAAUAUAUUAUAUUUAAUUUAUUUUAUUAAUAAUACCGGUAAUAAAUCGCGUAAUAAAAUCUAACCUAAUAGGUGCAAUUUAAAUCACGUAAAAUAUCGCUGUAUAAAAAAUACAUAAUUUAAAUUUCAUGAGUAAAAUUUUAAAAAUAUAAUGUAUAUAUGUGUAUAUAUAUAAUUAUUUUUUAUUAAAAAAUUUUUCUACAAUUUUAUUUUUCUUCUAUUUAUUGAAAAUUAUUUUGAUAGAUUUAUCUCAAAUCCUUUUCAUAUAAAUCUUUAUAAAAUAAAUUGUUGUAUAAAUUUACUUUGCGCAUAUACUAAUUUUAAUAAAUUUUAUUUAAAUAGAUUUAACUAUUAAAUUAUUUUUAUAUAACUUUUAUUUAAUUAAUAAUUAGAGUUAUAAAACUAUAAUAAAAAUAUUAAAAAAUAAAAAUUUAUUUUAAAAAUAAUUUUAUAUCCGCAGCAUUGCGCGGGUAUUUCACUAGUAAGUUAUU
rnacentral:lncRNA from 1 species